UACGUAGGGUGCAAGCGUUAAUCGGAAUUACUGGGCGUAAAGCGUGCGCAGGCGGUUGUGCAAGACAGAUGUGAAAUCCCCGGGCUUAACCUGGGAACUGCAUUGUGACUGCACGGCUAGAGUGCGGCAGAGGGGGAUGGAAUUCCGCGUGUAGCAGUGAAAUGCGUAGAUAUGCGGAGGAACACCGAUGGCGAAGGCAAUCCCCUGGGCCUGCACUGACGCUCAUGCACGAAAGCGUGGGGAGCAAACAGG
rnacentral:rRNA from 1 species